rnacentral:sRNA from 1 species
UAACUGGAGGGCUUUUUCCUGUCCUUGC